AACGCUAGCUACAGGCUUAACACAUGCAAGUCGAGGGGCAGCAUGGUCUUAGCUUGCUAAGGCCGAUGGCGACCGGCGCACGGGUGAGUAACACGUAUCCAACCUGCCGUCUACUCUUGGACAGCCUUCUGAAAGGAAGAUUAAUACAAGAUGGCAUCAUGAGUCCGCAUGUUCACAUGAUUAAAGGUAUUCCGGUAGACGAUGGGGAUGCGUUCCAUUAGAUAGUAGGCGGGGUAACGGCCCACCUAGUCUUCGAUGGAUAGGGGUUCUGAGAGGAAGGUCCCCCACAUUGGAACUGAGACACGGUCCAAACUCCUACGGGAGGCAGCAGUGAGGAAUAUUGGUCAAUGGGCGAGAGCCUGAACCAGCCAAGUAGCGUGAAGGAUGACUGCCCUAUGGGUUGUAAACUUCUUUUAUAAAGGAAUAAAGUCGGGUAUGCAUACCCGUUUGCAUGUACUUUAUGAAUAAGGAUCGGCUAACUCCGUGCCAGCAGCCGCGGUAAUACGGAGGAUCCGAGCGUUAUCCGGAUUUAUUGGGUUUAAAGGGAGCGUAGAUGGAUGUUUAAGUCAGUUAUGAAAGUUUGCGGCUCAACCGUAAAAUUGCAGUUGAUACUGGAUAUCUUGAGUGCAGUUGAGGCAGGCGGAAUUCGUGGUGUAGCGGUGAAAUGCUUAGAUAUCACGAAGAACUCCGAUUGCGAAGGCAGCCUGCUAAGCUGCAACUGACAUUGAGGCUCGAAAGUGUGGGUAUCAAACAGGAUUAGAUACCCUGGUAGUCCACACGGUAAACGAUGAAUACUCGCUGUUUGCGAUAUACAGCAAGCGGCCAAGCGAAAGCGUUAAGUAUUCCACCUGGGGAGUACGCCGGCAACGGUGAAACUCAAAGGAAUUGACGGGGGCCCGCACAAGCGGAGGAACAUGUGGUUUAAUUCGAUGAUACGCGAGGAACCUUACCCGGGCUUAAAUUGCAGAUGAAUUACGGUGAAAGCCGUAAGCCGCAAGGCAUCUGUGAAGGUGCUGCAUGGUUGUCGUCAGCUCGUGCCGUGAGGUGUCGGCUUAAGUGCCAUAACGAGCGCAACCCUUGUUGUCAGUUACUAACAGGUCAUGCUGAGGACUCUGACAAGACUGCCAUCGUAAGAUGUGAGGAAGGUGGGGAUGACGUCAAAUCAGCACGGCCCUUACGUCCGGGGCUACACACGUGUUACAAUGGGGGGUACAGAGGGCCGCUACCACGCGAGUGGAUGCCAAUCCCCAAAACCUCUCUCAGUUCGGACUGGAGUCUGCAACCCGACUCCACGAAGCUGGAUUCGCUAGUAAUCGCGCAUCAGCCACGGCGCGGUGAAUACGUUCCCGGGCCUUGUACACACCGCCCGUCAAGCCAUGGGAGCCGGGGGUACCUGAAGUGCGUAACCGCGAGGAGCGCCCUAGGGUAAAACUGGUGACUGGG
rnacentral:rRNA from 1 species